UCACUUGGCUUCACCGAUGUUUUCUGUUUAGGCUGUGGGCCAGAUAGAAAAGGAUAUUUUGCUUGACUCUCUCAAUAAGCACGAAUAGUUAUUCAGUGUGGGAUAUAAGUGGGGGUAGUGGUAGAAGAAACAGGGUUUCUGUUAGAAUGAAAAUACUGGAUCCAAUUCUUGUUCAUUUUAUAGAACACAUAAAUGUCAUAUCAUAAUGUGUGUGUCACACCUUCUGUAAAAGUAAAUAAUGAACUUGGAGAAAAUAGGCAAAAAUUAAUUCAAAGAAAGAUUUUGGUUUCGGAAGUAAAGGUAAUACUAGUACUAAAAUAAGACAAAUAGGUGUGGAACAGGAGCAAACUAGACGUCCCCUGAAGGCUCUGUUUCUGGUAGCCCAUCACAAGGGUAAACCCUGGAUAGCCUUUGCUCCCUACUCAGCCAGUCUCUUUGUUCUGUCUUCUUUUCCCUCACUCACCUGGUCAGUUUCAUUCCAAGAGCAGUAAACCCAGCCAGAUAAGCUUAAGGGGAAGAGAGGGAAAUUAAUUGCACCACAACUAGAAUCUCCCAUGGAGCUCAAGAACUUCACAAUAGCAAAACAUAAAAACAAAAGCACAUCGCCUGACAGUCACCAGGUGGAAGGCAAGGAAGGAUUCCAGGCUCUGGGGAUGGGGAAUGUUGGCGAUUGGGUAUGUGUAUGUGCAGUUAAGCAAAGACUUCCCUUUCAAGUUAGCUAUUUGGGAAUGGCCGAGUAAUAGGCGUCCCGCCAUUUUCUAAGCCCAUACCUCUACUCUGUGAUUCAUUUACUACCCUGUAAUUUACAGAACCUGCUUCUUCACCCCAACCUGGAGAAAUUUAACGACAAUUACUUAUAGUAUUUAUGACCCGACAUGUUAUUUCUUUAUAUGCCUGCCUAUUCGUUAUGUUCCUUGACUGGUCCUGGCAGCAGUUUCCACUGGCCCUCCACAGUGCAGCUUCAUUGUGUAUAUUUCGAAGACCUUCAGGUCCUCGCUAACGGAGCUGCAGAAUCUGGAUUCGUAAAUGGUGUGGAUCUUUUUUUUUCUUUAUUUCCUAAUUCUUAUCACAUCCCACAGAAAAGUAUUCGAAGUCAGAUGAAGAAGGGAAGAUCUGUUAGAACCACUACACUGGCAAAGGGUCAACAAAGGAACAACUGAAAGAAAUAGGUAACCCUCUCCCCAGCCCCCAGCGAAGGAGGAUCAUCAGGACUGGGAGACAGGCCAGGGGUGUUAUCUGGAGGACCAGUUUUAAUACAAGGAAGCACAUGUGACCAGGGGUAGAAUGGGAACAGCACAAGUCACAUGCCAUUGUGAAGAUAGACCAAGGUAAAGAACGUAACAGCUAAGGCCGGAGGAGGAAGGACUAAAUGGCAAAUUUUAUAUGGAUUCACAGCUAGGCUUAACCCCACCACACAAGAAUUACUUGAAUAAUUACAAGAAGCAAAUAUAUUGAGGCUGGUCUGUGAGGAAGGGUUUCUCAAAAAAAAUAAUGAAGAGCAAAAGAGAGACAAGUGGUAUUCUUGAAAUCUGACUAAAAACUUCACAGUGGAAUAAUUAAUUCUGAGUCUUAAACUAUGUAGCUAUUUGGAAAGACGGUCUCCUCUUCCCAUCAUGCCAAACUUCUUUUCUCAAAAAAUUUUUUUCUGCUGAACCUUUAAUUUGAUACUGUUUUCUGUACAAACUUCAGAUCAGCUCUUACAGGUCCCCUAAUAUGCUGGCUGCAACAAGAGCCACAGAAGAAGGAAAAAUGAAGUGAAACGUUUGCCUAUUACAAUGGAAGGAGUUGAAAGCGAGGGAAGAAAGAGGGUAAAAGGUAUAUGGCCCAUGGUGGCAUGAAUGAGAAUGGGCCCAGAGGUUCAUAUAUUUGAAUAUUUAGUACCCAGUUAGUAGAACUGUUUGAGAAGGAUUAGGAGGUGUGGCCUUGUGGGAGGUGUGUCACUGGAGGUGGGUUUUGAGGUUUCAAAGACCCUCACCAGGUCCAGUUCAAUUCUCUCAUUCCCCACCCCCAGUCUGAAAGUGGUGGAUCAGACCUAAGCUCUCAGCUACUUCUCUAGUACCGUAGCUGCCUGCCUACUGCCAUAUCAUGAUGAUCAUGAACUAACCCUUUGAAAUUGCAUGCAAGCUCCCAGUUAAAUGCUUGUUUCUGUAAGUUGCCUUGGUCAUGGUGUCUCCUCACAGCUGUAGAACACUAGUUAAAACAUACCCCAACCAGAGAAGAGGAGGGUGAUGAUGUCACACAAACUAUCAUAGAAAGUUUUAGAUAUAACAAAGGAAACCUCCUGAAGCUUCUUCAGCUUCUGGAGUAUAACCAUUCGUGAUUCCUUCAAUCUUCAUUGCCCCAUACAUAAUUAAGUCAAUACUGGAGGUUGACAUAUGUUAUUGCUUCUAAACUUUGAUUUCUGAAUAGAGCCCCAUUCUUCAUCCUUCCAGACAUAACUCUGUACAUGUAUUUGUGCAUGUGGUAGUCUUGGUGGUGUGUGUGUAUGUGUGUGUGUGUGUGUGUGUGUGUGUGUGUGUUCAUGUUUGUAUGCACAUAUGUGUAUAUGAUAUGUGUGCAGGUUCAUUUGCAUAUGUGUGCCGAUGCAUAUGCAACAGCCAUACAGCUGUUGUUUAUUGAGACAGGGACUCUUGACGGCCCGGGACUAUUCAAGAAGUCUAGACCAUCUGGCCAACAAGUCCCAGGAAGCCACCUAGCUCUGUCUCACUGCUACUGAGAUUCUAAGAACACCAGACAAAAAUGUUUUCUGUUCAAAGGCAAAAAAAACUGGUAGCAAAAACCCCUCAGUUUCUUAGCCCACUACUGUUCCAUCCGGUGCCUUCCUAAUUGUAAGGCUUGGUAUGUGCAGCCCUUCACAGCUUGGAAUUACCUUGGGUUUUCAAAGUGAAGCACAGAAAGGAGCUGAACUGAAACGAAAUCUUGGUCAUCAUCUUAGAAAGCAACGACCAAAGUCUUUUUCUUCCUGCCAAUCAGUAAAGCUCAGAUUGCUGCCCAGAUAAACAUGGAAGGAAAGGUAGAGUUCCAGGAGCCUGUGCUUUUCCUGAUCACUCACUCACUCAUUCAUUCAUUCACUCACUCACUCACUCAUUCAUUCACUCACUCAUUCAUUCACUCACUCACUCAUUCAUUCACUCACUCAUUCAUUCACUCACUCACUCACUCAUUCAUUCACUCACUCACUCAUUCAUUCACUCACUCACUCAUUCAUUCACUCACUCAUUCAUUCACUCACUCACUCAUUCAUUCAUUCACUCACUCACUCAUUCAUUCAUUCAUUCAUGUAACAUUUAUUAUGGACCUCCUUGGGCCAGCAUCUAUGGUUAUCACAAGAGACACCAAACAGUUGUAGUCUCUGUGCUGAAGGAUCUUGUAGCAAAGAUAGUUACAUCUGGGGAAGAUGGCCCACACCUUUAAUCCCUGCACUUGAGGAGGCAGAGGCAAGUGCAUCUUUGUAAGUUCGAGGCCAACCUGGUCUACAGAGUGAGUUCUGGAACAGCCAGGGCUACACAGAGAAACCUUGUCCUGAAAAACGAUAGAUAGAUAGAUAGAUAGAUAGAUAGAUAGAUAGAUAGAUAGAUAGACAGACAGAUAGGCAAAGCUGCAGAGUACAAUAUAACAGAAAAUGUUCCUCAGAACUAGGGCAGAAGAGCAAGCAAGGCACCUUGACAUACUAGGGGGAAAUAGACUAGAAGAGCCAAACUCAUGGCCUGGGGUGCUUAAGGUUGGAAGAGAAGAGAGCUUUACCUCAGUCAGCAAAGAAAAGGCUGGAUUAUGAGACUUUUAGUUCUUAGCUUGGCUUUGAAUGGUAAGAAAAAACAAAACAGAACUUUAGAACAUGUCCUUUUCAAGUUCUAUGCAACCGCUAUCGUUCUUUUCAAACUCUUGGGUUCGUGUGUAGUCCCGAGUGAUUAGGGCAGAUUAUUCUACGUGCCUCAGACACUUCGGUAAGAGGCUAAAUGUAUUAGGGCUUAACAUAAACCUGUACAUAAGAUAAUAUAAACCUUUUAAUUAAAAAAUAUAUAGAUACUGUUAUAAGAUUGCCUGUCAGGAAACACUCGUCUUUGGAAGUCUCAGAUGGUCACCACACAGAACAAAAAUGUUUAGAUGCUGGCAACAAGACUGGCAAUUUCCACAGUUGGAACAUGUCUGACAGGAUUGACAGACCCUGGAUAUUGAUGUAGAUUUGAGGCUUCAUUUAUAUUUGGGAGAAGCAUAAUUACAUUUUGAUUUUAUGUCAUUUCUCAUGGAAUAGACUUGUUAUUUGACUGGGACUGUAUAUUUGUAGUAAGCUAUGCAAUUUGUAUUGGGUAUUUUCCUUAUCUGUGCGUCUUCCUGGGCUCUGUCUAUACUGAAGCUUCCCAUAUAAGCAGCGCUGCCUCAAGCUUAGGAGCUGAUGAGUUUGCAGUCAGAAAGUUCUUCAAUGAACACUGGCUCUGCCGUUCCCUACUUAUCUGACCUUGAACAAACUCCUUACACUCAUUAACCCCAGGACCUCAGUUCCCUAAACUGUAAAAUGGGAAUAAAAAUGGUGUCUACUUUUAAGGCUUACUCUGGGAAUUAAACAUGAUCAUGAAUAUAAAAAUAGUUCCUGACAAUAAAACAGCUUAUUUAAAAAACUCAACUCUUAUACAUGGCUUGUUGUAUAGAGUGAUGUUUAAUGUUCAUCCUGUGGCACUUAGGGUGAUAAAUAGCAAUUUUACCUUCUGAGUGAUCUCAUUAAAAUGUUUGAGAGACUUGGGAGAGCAUUCUUUAAAUACUGCUGAAAUUUAAUAGGAUGAACAAACUAUUUUCUUCUUUUUCUUUACAAAUGAUAGUGGUAUUUCUAAUUAUUUAAAUAACAGUAGAAAAUCCAGUGUUUCUGGAUUUUCUAACUUGACUCGUUUAGCUUUCUCAGUGUGUGUCAGGAGUAUAUCAAGAACACGGUUUUGGGGGGAAGGCUGAGGAAAUGGCUCAGUGAGUAAAGUGCUUGCCGCACAAGAGUGAGAAACUGAAGGGGUUGGGGAUUUAGUUCAGCGGUAGAGCGCUUGCCUAGCGAGCGCAAGGCCCUGGGUUCGGUCCCCAGCCCCGGGGAAAAAAAAAAAAAAAAAAAAAAAAAAAAAAAAGAAACCAUCUGGUGUUUUGGGGCUGGGGAUUUAGCUCAGUGGUAGAGCGCUUGCCUAGGAAGCACAAGGCCCUGGGUUCGGUCCCCAGCUCCGAAAAAAAGACCCCAAAAAAAAAAAAGAGUGAGAAACUGAGUUUGGAUGGCCAGUAACUACAUAGAAGCAGAGCAUGAUAGCUUACAGAUGUAAGUCCAUGGCUGAGAGACAGAGAUAGGGUGAUCCUGGUGCACUCAAUGGCCAAUCAGAGUAGCCUAAACUGUGAGCUCCAGGCUCCAUCUCAGUCUCAAAACAUAAUAUGGAGAGCCACAGUGGAGGAAAUCUUCAUGCCAGCCUGUGUCCUCCAGUUUCUGCAUGCACCUGAAGGGCAAGUGAACACCCGUGCACGCACCAGAGCUCAAGCACAUGCACACGUGUGCGCACACACAUACAUACACACACAAACACACACACAUACACAAACACACAAACACACAUACACACACACAUUCACACACACAAACACAAACACACAUAUACACAUACACACAUAAACACAAACACACACACACCAACACACACAUUCACACACACACAAACACAAACACACAUAUACACACACACACAAACACACAUAUACACACACAAACACAAACACACAUAUACACACACACAAACACACACAUUCACACACACAAACACAAACACACAUAUACACACACACAAACACACACAUUCACACACAUUCACACACAAACACACAUAUACACAUACACACACAAACACAAACACACAUAUACACACACACACAUACACUCACAUACCUCACACACACACACACACACACACACAGGGGUGGGCAGGCACAGAGAUAGAGACAGAGACAGAUAGAGAGAUAAAGACAGAGAGACAGAAAGACUCAAUGUAACUCCAAUGUUGCAUCCUUGGUAUUUUAAAGUCUUAUAAUAUUUUUUUCCAAGUGAGGUUGAUCAGAAUCAGCAGUGAUUUUUAAAAAUCACUUUUUAAAAAAUUGUGACUUUUUUUAAAAAAUUCAAAUGCCUGGCUUGGGCAUGUGGGGAAAUCUGUGACUAUUAAGAAAACACCUAACCCCACUGACUUUUAUGAAUUCCUAAGCUUAAGAGUGGUUUGACUACAGAAGUAAUUGUUCCAUAAAUAAGCUGUGUUUUCUGAGGGGUUUCGUGGUUGGUAUUCUUACUUGAAUGACAACAUGUGUGAUGCAGUCAUGGUGACACAUCCUGACAUUUGCAACACGAUUGGAAGUCCUCAGCAGCAAUUUCCAAAUGACUUUAUGAACAGUCAUUUACUUUCUCUUCUGAUUCUUCAGAAACAGCUGCCUCCCUCUCAGUCAAUACUGUUACUCCUGCUUAGUGAAGAGAAGGACGGAAAAUGAGCGGGAAGUGAAAAGUCGAAUGAUCAGGGUCCACAGAGGCCCCUUACGGAGUGUUAACGUGUCCGUGGCUAACCUCUUUGAACGGGACUUUCCCCUUUCUGGUCCCUAAGACUCCUGAGUAUCUAGCAUGUGUUCCCACAGCAUCACUGUCCUAUAUAUCCCUGCCCCAUUUCUAUCCUCAUAGCUAUUCCAUACCCACUUUGAUUGAGGAUGGUAUCUGAUAAAUGCUUCUUGACCUAGCAAAGUGGUAAAUAAUGUUCCUUGUUUCCGUUUGUAAGUAAAGGAGAAACAUACGUGGGGAAAUGUCAGCAUGAUUUAAAGUGCGAGCAGAAAAGAGAAAUGUGCUUACGAUUAUGUUCGGGGGGGGGGCUUGCUUUCUAUUACACGACCCUUAGGUAAUUACAGACACAGACAGGCGUGCUGUGGAGGUAGCCUUGCUACCUGCUGCCCCAGUAUGUCUACUCUACAAGUAUUAGCUUGCCGAGCCAUUUUCCAAUGUCUAAGCAAGAUGACAAGUACUGAUAUUUUAAAUUAUGUGGUUUGAGGAUUGGUUGGCCAUUGAGUGAAAUAGUGCUAACCUCCUUUUGUUUGUUGAUUUUGUUUUGUUUUGAGACAGUAUCUUCCUCUGUAGCCUAAGCUAGCUUUGAACUCACAACAACCCUGAUGUUUCAACCUCUCCAGUUCCACAAUUACAGAUAUGAACCAUGGUGCCUGGCUGCUAACUUUCUUUUGAUUAAAAACCAUUUUAGGAGACCCUUCUAGCUAUAGCGAGAGUCAUGCUGUGUGGUAAAUGUGAAGAUUACAACCGAAGAAAUCCAAAUCUUUUCAGUAUAAAUCUAUAGGUAUGUCACAGAAGGCACCAGUCCACUUAGCAACGUCAAGCAAAAGAGUGGUCUAGAGGCUGACAUGGCUCUGUCUAUUCUCUUGAUCAGAGAGCUUGUUCUCAGUACCUUGUCAGAGCAAUGGCUGUUUGUACCCAUGGGCUUUGGAGUCAAAAAGGUAUGGAGUUGUAAGUUCUGGAUCCACCCUUUAUCAAUUGUCUAGAUCUUCACAAACUGUCCUCACUUUCACCAACUGUAAAAAAUUAAAUAUAAUAAUAGUUUUAGUGAGAAAUACAGGACAAUGGACACAAAGCCCUUAGUAGGAGGCUCAGCAUGUGGUAGCACCUGUGUUCUUUGGCAUUCUACAAUUAUAUUGUUGCAAUCCUUUCCUAUAUUUUCUCCAAGUAUUUUUAAAAACUUAAUAAUAUAUCAAGGUGUUCCAAAUGCCCUAUUCCUUGUUUUCUCAACUUCACUGAUUCGACAAGUAUUCCCCAAGUAACUAUUAUGCUCUACCUUCUUAAAUCAGAGAGGAAAACAAAGGAAGACAGCAGCCAUGGAGCAUACGCUGCAGAUGAGGGGGUAAGUACAAUAGACAAUAAACACAGUCAAUAAGUCAUUUCCAUGGAAUGAAAAAUGAGAUGAGUAUUACGGAGACAGGUAAUGGGAGUCAGAGCAUUCCAGUUCUGAAUGGGAACAGGAUAGGGCUUCUUGGGAAGUGUAAACAUAGAGCCAUGGGAAGUGUGUGUGUGUGUGUGUGUGUGUGUGUGUGUGUGUGUGUGUGUGCGCGCGCGCGCGCGCAAGCAUUCAUAUAUUUGCGCACACGCACAGUCCUGAGGUAACAGUGACUAUUUUCUCUUUCAGGCCACACUCUGUUCUCUUCUCUGUUCUUUAAGGUCACAGGUUGUCCAUUCUUUACCCACUCUGCUUUCACAUCUCAGGACUUUGGGUGAUAGAUAAUGUUAUCAGUUAAAAAUAUGUAUGAUAAGUUCAAAAUACUUAUGCUUUUUCUCUUUGUGUUUUGUAGCAGAGUUUAUGUAACAUCAAACUGUAUGGUUUACAUAUCAUAAAGGCAAAAGCUUUGACCCCCCCAUAGAAAUGUGUGCAAUUAAACUAUAAGUCCAUGGUUAGAUUUACUCUUAGGCAACUUUUUAUUAAAAACAAACCACGAAGUUGAUUUUUACAUCUCGAUUAAGCAGGAGGAGCACAGCAGUGGUAUUCAGAGGCAGGGUCUGCCCCUAGCCGCACCCCGUCCAACCCUUUUCAGCCCACUUGGUGCCUGCCAUUUGACAGUUCUGUGCCUACGACUUUCUCAAUUAUGAAUUGGGGGUGGCAAACAGUGUCCUUUCCACCUCUCUAAUUCCACGAGUCUUUGAAAAGCUACAAGAAUAUUUCUCUUCUAGAAACUAGCAGAGGUAUAAUGAGUAGGACUCUAUAAUCUCUCGGCAUCUGUUUUAUUGAAAACUGUAAUUAAGGUGAUUUGUCCAUUUUUGGAUAGGAACAAAAAUAGAGUGUGCUGAUCUUCCACAUAUUAUUUGUGCCUCUUUACCUACCAUGUUAUAAAUGAAUAUAUUAUUACAGGGAGAAUAUAUCCUUGCUACAUCCUGUCCACCAGGAGUCUUGUCAGAUACAUAGAACUUCAGGACGUGACUGUCACAUGUUGGCUAUGACAUACUUGAAAUAGUCCACUCUCUGUUAACCUACAGAAACUCACAUGUGGUCUAGGCUUGUCCUUGAGGUCUCAGAGCCUUUAAACAGCAUUGUUUAUGUCAGAAUUAAUUCUAUCAUAAAUGUGUUAUGAGCUUCAUUUUUAUAUAGGGGAAAAAAUGGAAAUACAGCCAAAAUCCUACAAAGUUCAGUCACAGUACUACCUAGAGAUAUAGCUCAGCGAUAGGGGGUUUGCCAAGCACAUUGAGGGUCUAGGUUCAACUCGACAGGGCCUCCAAUAAGAGGUCAAGAGGGGUACAGCAGUUAGGAGAACUUGCUGCUCUUCCAGAGGACUAGAAUGUGGUUAACAGCACCCACAUCCAACAGUUUACAUGAGAGCAUGCAACUUCCCUUCUGGCUUUCAUGAGUAUCCAGUGAUGACAGGAACAUGUGCCUGCACACAGGAAACACAGGCACGUAAACUUAAAAAUUAAUCCUGCAAUAAAUUAAUUAACUAAAAAUCAAACGUACUUUCUGCUACAAACUCUGACCUUUCCUUAAUCCUCCAGACCAGGGUUGACAAACUACUGCCUAUACAAAGGCCUAAUCUGCUCCCUAUUUACAUUCUUCCUUCCUCCCUCCCUUUCUUCCUUCCUUCUUUCCUUCCUUCCUUCCUUCUUUCCUUCCUUCCUUCUUUCCUUCCUUCCUUCCUUCCUUCCUUCCUUCCUUCCUUCCUUCCUUCCUUUCUUUCUUUCGUUCUUUCUUUCACUGGGUGUUUCAAUAGGAUCGUUACACUUUUUACUGCUUAAACAAAUGAGAAGAAUGUGAAUGUGUGGUAUGUGUGGCAUGUGUGCAUUCUAUGAAAUCUGAAUUGCAGUGUUCCUAGACCAAGGGGUUUACUGAGCACUGGUUUUCUAUCAUCUGCCCAUAUGUGUAUGGCUGCUUUCUCAAGAAAGUUCUUACUUGUCCCAGGAUGUAUGGCUCCAAAGCCUAGAGUAUUUAUUACUUGUCUUUGAGGGGGAAAAAUACUCAUCUCUGAUCUAGACUAUAUGGAUCUCUUAGCUAGAAUAUCUAAAAAAAUAAAUUAAAUUAAAAUUGAGGAACAGACUAAACUCAUAGACUGCCACCGUUGAAUAAGAAAACUAUACAUCCUUCCUUGUGCUAAGAAGUUGGCUGACUAUUUGUUUCUUUGUUGUUAUUCUUAUUUCUUUCCACUUUCAUUCAUCUCUUUAUCCUACCAAUAUAAUUAAUUACCUGAGAAUGUUAUUAAUCAAAUGUAGAUUUAUUAGCUAAAUUAUCUAAACAAACUCUUUGCCGUUACUCUCCGGUGGUAGGAAGCACCAGCACAGAGGUGUGUCUGGAGAGGAAAAAGAAAAGCCUGACUCAGUUGAGUUGGUGAAGGCUUCCUAACAAAGGGGUCCUAAUGAAGGAGGGCCUGACAAGGAGGAGGAGCGCAGGGUGGUAGAAAGGGAUCAGAAGCAGCAGUUCCUCGAGGCAGCACUGUUUCCCAAAGCCUGGAUGAGUUGGCGGUGACUUCCCAAAGCUCGUAUCAGUUCAGAUUCAGUAAAUGAAACAAGCCAAUGUACUGUCUUGAGAUGGGAAGGGUUACGUAAUUAGGACAAAAUCUUGGAAAAGCCAGAAGAAUGAGCUAUAGACUGACCUAGCAAGAAUGACUCUCAGAAGACCACACAGCCCAGUCACAGUGAGGCCACCACUAGAGUGAUUCCAGCAAGACCAUGUUGCUGCCACUGCAACUGCCUUUCAACACCCAGGAAGCCAGGGAAGGGACACCGGAGCUCUGCUGUGGAAAAGGACACCUACAAAAUCACUCACCCAGCCUAUCAGCCAGUAAAGCAAGGAGAGGACCUCAGCCCUGUCUCCAGUUCCUUGGUGUUAGAAAGAUCCAUCUCCUUUGUGUGUCCUGGGCUUCUACGAUCUUGUAAUUUAAAAGAAAAUGAAAACGAUGUCUACAGACUCCUGGUCAUUGCAGCCCUGACCAGAGGAUAAGCAGUCUGAGCCACAGAAUCUGCCGCAUGUAAGAAAAUUAGUGUCAUUGUCCAUUCAUAGAAUUCCAAAUAGUUCGCAAUGGCUAGAACAGCAAUCUAUAAAUAUCCAGGUGUGGAUCUCUUUAUAGCAUAAAAAUCCACAGCCCCUUAUGUAUAAGACAGAGACUACAUCCUGUGUUGAAAAAGAUUUAGUGGAAAUAGUUACCAUCUGAGUAAACUUAUACUUAUUAAUUACAGGACUAAAUAUACACUUUGGAAAAUAAUAGCAGUAACAAUUGCUCACAUAACUGCCUGUCAAUCUAUAUCACUUCUCCAGUCAACAAGAGUAAACAGACCACUUGGGCAGUCCACAACUCUCUCUCGGAGGGCCCUGAAACCCGAGUGUUUUAGAUUCAUACUUGGGAAGCAUUGAGCCGUCUAAGACAUUCAGGCAGACGAUGAGUGAGAAGCCCAAAAAUAAAGCUGUAAGAGUAUGCUAAUUUAUUUCGUUAUUGUAUGUGAGGUGCUGUCGAGUCACAAAAUUUAUGCAAAAGAAGGACAAAAACAAAAUUUUCAUAUCAGAGAGAUUACUCAGCGUAGACAAGGCAGUGAGCUGCAGGAAUAAAAGCGAGGACAAGGAGAAAAAUAGUGGAGACUGUUUCAGCAGAGCGGGAAAAGCAGCCCUCUAGCAAGUAGGGUAAAGGUAAUAGAGAUGGAGAAAUUGGGCACUUAGACAGUCUAAGUCUAGGUAUGUAGAUUGUCUAUCUGUCUGUUUAUCUAUCUAUCUAUCUAUCUAUCUAUCUAUCUACAUAUCUAAGUACUGUAACAUGAAUGACUAGUAAGAAAAUGCUUGGGUAACCACGUAAACAUAAAAAUCCUCCCAAUGUCUCAUUCAAGAUGUGCACACACAAAACAAAAGCAGAAAUGAGAGGAGUGCAGAAUUAGCCAGGUUAGUCUGCUAACUCUGCAGAUAUCCAUGGCACGACAGAACAAAGAUACAUUCCUUAUUUGGAUCCCAGUUCAAUAGUGUAGACUGUAUUGUGAGAAGGGAUACAAAUUCUAUUCCAAUUGGUUAUUCAGACUUGAGCGUUCUCGUUUUGUUGGCUCCACUGUCUCCUAGGACCGCUGACUUCUCUCUACUGAAACCAUAGAGUUGAACUGAAAGCAAAGAGGCCUUGUGGAAGAAGCAUUCAUCAUUUGUGUAUCGCUUUAUAUGCUAGAACAGAAACAUGUGUCCUAUCUACUGGGUUCGUACUCCUCUAGGGUAGAGGUUUGAAUGCUGGUCGCCUUGAGGCAUUCUGUGCCUUGGUCUCACAGGAAGUAAUGAUGAUCAGGGACAACAGACCUGCUGACAUCGUAGCUCCAGUCCUGUCCACUACAAUGAAGAACUGAUUCUGAAUCUGUGCACCUAGAUAAGAAUUUGAAAAGCAUGACUUAUGCCUUGAUUUGAUCAAAUCUGGGUACUCGCACAAAUUCAAGUUAUUGAUCAUAAAAUAUCCAGGGCCUAGUAAUGUGUUAGGGAACUUCCUCAAAGACCAUUUGAUCCUGUGAGGACUUAAUCAAGAUUCCAGGUUAACCUUAACCCUCUGGCAUCCCUACUUCUGAACUUUAACUCCGACAUUUGAGACUCGAUGAUUUCACAACAUAUUUGCUAGACCAAACUGUAAACAUUUGUAUUUUUAUAAUAUAAAAAAAUAAUCCCCAUAAAUUUGAGACGUAAAACUUGGUCAGGUUACCUGAUAAAAAUUAUGUUUGAUUCCCUCAACAAAAAUUGUAAUGUAUAUAGUUAGUUACUAUAUUGUUGAACAAAGAAAGUAAUCAGAAAUACGUAUGUGUGUGUAUGCUUAAAAUGCAUCGAUAAAAAUAAAUCAAAGUAAACUUGUUUUCCUCCAAUGCAGUUUUUAUUUUCCCUGAGUGGGGAUUUAAAAUUGCUUCAAUUGUGUUUAAGUUAGUGAACAGAAGUGCUCGGAUGACAAUAACACUUAUAACAAAUGUUCAACUAGCACGUGCAGGAUAACGAGGAAAGGAGGGGUCUGUGCGCAUCUCGGUCAACGCUACAGACACGGUUCCAUAAUGGUUUUUCCUGAAAGGAAAGACAUCCACUUGUUUUUCUCAUGGUAGUGCAGAUCCUUGCACAAUGUACAUUCCUCCCAUUUCACAACAUUUCUGACCCUUUGAGUCGUAUUUUGUCUUUUCUGCUGGUCCUUCUGACUUACAUCACAGUCAUGUUAUAGAAAGAGUGAGAUGUAGGUCAAAGUAUGUCCUCACAGUCCCACUGUGGAAACUGUGGAAGACACACAGGCGGGAAAUAAUGGGCUGUCUUUAUAUAAAGUAAUAAGGAUCGCUCUGCUUUUUUGAAGAAUGUGCCAUGGUACUUGUGAAGCUUGGUCAGUAACAUUUUUUUUUUUCUGGCGAAUUAAGCUUGAAAAUCCACCAUCUCAAGUCAAUUGUAGCCAAACCAGCUUUCUCACAGUUUGCAUGUGAUCUUUAUCAAGUUCUACCUCUCUCCAUGGAAUGGACAGCUGUAAGGCUCCUGGCAGAGUUUGACAUCUCCUCCAGAUACCACCACUGUAGUGUGACCUCAGCAAAUCCCACAAGGAAGUGGAGAGAUACAGCCCAGGAGGAAAGAUCCCUCCUUCCACCCUAGGCUCAAGUCUAUGACUCUGAAGGGUUUCUUUUGCAUUCUGAAGGCUCGGCCUUUUAAUCUAUAAGAUACAGGAGGUGGGCUAAGAGUAUUUCUAAGAUUCUGUAAAGAUCCAAAACACAGCAGGACCCUACACUUUGCGUGGUUGGGGAGGAACUCUCUCCGAAAAGUUGAUUAGUGACAUCAUUUAUGAAGCAAUUAAGAAAAUGCUUGCAACCUUUAUAAUUAUAGUGACAGUGAACAUUUGUAGAGAAAACAAAGAUCAUUUCUGUCCUGUCGACCAGAAUCCACAUCCUCAUUCAUUCAGGCCAACACCAGAUUCAAUCUGGGAUGACCAAGACUUUUCAACCCUGGAUGCA